AGCGGCGGACGGGUGAGUAACACGUGGGUAACCUGCCCAAGAGACUGGGAUAACACCUGGAAACAGAUGCUAAUACCGGAUAACAACACUAGACGCAUGUCUAGAGUUUGAAAGAUGGUUCUGCUAUCACUCUUGGAUGGACCUGCGGUGCAUUAGCUAGUUGGUAAGGUAACGGCUUACCAAGGCGAUGAUGCAUAGCCGAGUUGAGAGACUGAUCGGCCACAUUGGGACUGAGACACGGCCCAAACUCCUACGGGAGGCAGCAGUAGGGAAUCUUCCACAAUGGACGAAAGUCUGAUGGAGCAACGCCGCGUGAGUGAAGAAGGGUUUCGGCUCGCAAAGCUCUGUUGGUAGUGAAGAAAGAUAGAGGUAGUAACUGGCCUUUAUUUGACGGUAAUUACUUAGAAAGUCACGGCUAACUACGUGCCAGCAGCCGCGGUAAUACGUAGGUGGCAAGCGUUGUCCGGAUUUAUUGGGCGUAAAGCGAGUGCAGGCGGUUCAAUAAGUCUGAUGUGAAAGCCUUCGGCUCAACCGGAGAAUUGCAUCAGAAACUGUUGAACUUGAGUGCAGAAGAGGAGAGUGGAACUCCAUGUGUAGCGGUGGAAUGCGUAGAUAUAUGGAAGAACACCGGUGGCGAAAGCGGCUCUCUGGUCUGCAACUGACGCUGAGGCUCGAAAGCAUGGGUAGCGAACAGGAUUAGAUACCCUGGUAGUCCAUGCCGUAAACGAUGAGUGCUAAGUGU
rnacentral:rRNA from 1 species